rnacentral:rRNA from 1 species
GACGAACGCUGGCGGCGUGCUUAACACAUGCAAGUCGAGCGGUAAGGCCCUUUCGGGGGUACACGAGCGGCGAACGGGUGAGUAACACGUGGGUGACCUGCCCUCAGCUCUGGGAUAAGCCUGGGAAACCGGGUCUAAUACUGGAUAUGACUCCAUGACGCAUGUUGUGGGGUGGAAAGCCUUGUGCGGCUGAGGAUGGGCCCGCGGCCUAUCAGCUUGUUGGUGGGGUGANGGCCUACCAAGGCGACGACGGGUAGCCGGCCUGAGAGGGCGACCGGCCACACUGGGACUGAGACACGGCCCAGGACUCCUACGGGAGGCAGCAGUGGGGAAUCUUGCGCAA